rnacentral:lncRNA from 1 species
UUAUUAUGUCAUAUCCUUUAGAAAUAUGGAACAUUCUGGGAGGCCGAGGUGGGCGGAUCACGAGGUCAGGAGAUUGAGACCAUCCUGGCUAACACGGUGAAACCCCGUCUCUACUAAAAAUACAAAAAAAUUAGCCGGGCGUGGCGGCGGGCGCCUGUAGUCCCAGCUACUUGGGAGGCUGAGGCAGGAGAAUGGUGCGAACCCGGGAGGCAGAUUUUGCAGAGAGCCGAGAUCGUGCCACUGCACUCCAGCCUGGGCGACAGAGCAAGACUCCGUCUCAAAACAAAAAACAAACAAACAAAUAUGGAGCAUUCUGAUAUGAAUAAGACACUUGCUCACUUCUCAAUUCCUUGGUGUCCAGCUCUACAAGUGUAUAUAGACUUCCAAAGAAUAUUUAAAUCCUUUAACAAAAAUGCCACCUAAGAAAAUAUGAAAUACUUCAGUCUGUCUGUCAGUGCUCACUUCCUGUCUAGAAACUUUCAGGCUCCGGCACAAAUGAACCAUGUUCUUCGCCUAAGUCAUUUAUGGAACAUCUGCUUUCGGUUUAGCAUCAGAUACAAUGUAUUUCUUUGGAAUUGACAGGGGAAACAAAGCAAAGAAGAAUGACACUGAAGAAUCAAAAAAAAAAAUGAGCAUAAGACCCAUGAAGAUUACAGACACAUACACUCCUAAAAUUAAACAUUAAGCGGAAUAAAAAUAAUCCCAGAUUAUAUGGUCUGACAUGCCAGAAGAAAUAAAAACCUAAGGAAUUAGUUAAAAUCUGUGCAAAAAAAAAAAAAAAAAAAAAAA